GAAGCAUGAGAAACCCUAAUAGACUCAAAUCCUGUUCCGAUCUUCUGAUCCGCUUUCAGCAACCCCAUUAGGGUUUUUCCUUAGGAAAACCUGAGAAAGGGUUAGUUAUCUUCUUCUCUUUGAUUUUGGCUCACAUAUUUGUUUCAAGAUUUACUUUCUCUCUCUAGCUAUGCCUUGCUUGUUCAAUUACAUGCUUCUUGUUUAUAGUGUUUUCUCAUGUUUUCGGUUGUUGUGUUCUUUCUUUCUUUUCUGUGUCAUCGUAUGUGGAGAAUCUUACUUGUAGGAGAGAGAUAAUGUUAGGGUUUUAAGUGACAGAAUUUCUCUGUCUGAACGCGGUUGGUGCUUUUGAGAUCCCUCCAAAUGCCUUGGUGAGAGAGCUGUAACAGCCUUUUCAUAAUUUUUUUCAUGUAUUGUUAAUGUCAAAUUUAAGUCUCAUAUGCAUUUCUUGGUUUUCAUGAUCUGAUCUAUUCAUAUCUAUUCAGUUCUCUGGUUGAAUGUUUUUCCAUCAAUUGGGAUUGAAUCAACAAUUCACUGAUAAAUUAAAUUACAUAUCUGAAUAUAGAUUGAAAUGAAUAAAAGUAAAACCUUGGAUUUGUGACAACUAAAAAACUAAAUAUUGAAUCUCUCUCUCUCUCUCUCCCUCUCCCUCUCCCUCUCCCUCCCUCCCUCCCUCCCUCUCCCUCUCUCUCUCUCUCUCUCUGAAUAUAGAUUGAAAUGAAUAAAAGUAAAACCUUGGAUUUGUGACAACUAAAAAACUAAAUAUUGAAUCUCUCUCUCUCUCUCUCUCCCUCUCCCUCUCCCUCUCCCUCCCUCCCUCCCUCUCCCUCUCUCUCUCUCUCUCUCUGAAUAUAGAUUGAAAUGAAUAAAAGUAAAACCUUGGAUUUGUGACAACUAAAAAACUAAAUAUUGAAGCUCUCUCUCUCUCUCUCUCUCUCUCUCUCCCUCCCUCUCCCUCUCCCUCCCUCCCUCUCUCUCUCUCUGAAUAUAGAUUGAAAUGAAUAAAAGUAAAACUUUGGAUUUGUGACAACUAAAAAACUAACUAUUGAAUCUCUCUCUCUCUCUCUAAGCAUGAUGAUGUGGGAUUCUCAAAUUUCACAAGAUUAUUGAGAGAGUGGUGUUGAGUGGUAAAUUGUUGAACAUUUUGGUAUGUUUCCUUACUGGAGUCAUGGUUGGGCAAAUGCAUGAUGCAGGCAUGGAAUACGACUAGACUAUAUAAUAAUGAAACAGCAGAAAUUUCUUGUCCCAUUUGAAGUCAUAUAUACAGUGAACAAGGCUGCAGAUCUGGCAUGCAUAGAAUAAGAUACCCUUUUCUUCUUGUUUCCAUCUCCAUCUUAUUUUAAGAAAUUGAAGCAUAAGAGAGAUAAUACUUUCUCCACAGCCAACAUAUUCAUAUAUAGAAUUCUUUCCAGGUAUGCAGAAAAGGGUUUGGAGAACCAAGCCAUAUUUUCUCAAUAGAGAAGCAAAGGAUGAACAAUUAUCAUCUGAAAAAUAGUUUGUUGACAGUCGUGUUCCGCGAAAGGGCAAUAGAGACACUUUAGCAUUCUAGAAAGUAGCUUAUAAAUGCAGGCAUUUGGCUACCCUUUUUUUGUGUAUGUAUGGUGUUAUCUCAAUAUAGAACGGAAAUGGUCCAACAUUCACAGCCAUUGAACAUUAUCUUUGAGCACCUACUUGUAUAUUUUCAAGGACAUUAGUCAUGGUAGGAUUGUAUUUUUCAAGGUCAUAGUAGAUGGAAAAAGUCUUUUUUUUCUUUCUCUUUGUGCUUGUUUCUUGAGUUUGAUUCUUAGACAACACUGAACUUGUAAUGACUUUCCAUCUCCUAUGCUCUAACGUCUUAGCAUGGUCAACUUUGUCCGCCGUAGAUGUAAUGUCACUGCCUAAUCUUUAAGACCUUUGUUUCAGGACUCUCUCUCUCUCUCUCUCUCUCUUUCUCUCUCUGUAUGUAUGUUAGAUGAGGUUUAUGAACUUGGACUGCAUUGAAUAACAAGUUUGAUUUUUCUGUUUAGCUUGGCUUGGUGGAGUUUGUUACCCUCUUUUGUUGGGAAGCUUCAUUUGGCUACACUCCACACAAUCUUUCUAAAUUCUUAGAUAGCCCAUGUAGCCAAAAACGUCAUUUAUUUGGUUCGCACAUCUCUUCUAGGGUUUUUAUACCUUAAUUAUACAUGAAGAACACCACAUGGUUGGGGUGUUCCUUCCAGGGAUUUGUUACAUUCCAUUAAUGAGACUCUUCCCAUGAGCCCUAGCUAGGUCCUCCUCUUCAACUUGGCAUUAUAUUGAGUCACGUGGGCACUUCCCCAUGGGGACUCAAAGAGCAAGCCAUAGGCUGUAAUGCAGAAAGAGCCCAUGAAAAAGGAAAAAGUAGUAUAGUACUCUUUGUUUUUAUGUAUACAUCUAUGCUUAUGUCAUAUUCCUCAGGACAAGGAUGUUGCUAAAGACAUUGUUUUCCUCUCAUUCAAGAUAGGUGAUCGGACAUUUUCAUUGACUGGAAGCAAUCAGAACAGCUAGGACAACAAUCUUUUUCUGUUUGUAAUAUUUUUUGUAUAUAAAUUUUUUCAUAGGUGUAACUGUGUAAGGUAAAAUUGCUGAAAUACCCAUCAAUGAAAUGAUUUGAAUAACUCAAAUGAGGAUGUCAGCAGCAUGAAUACAGUACUGUUGGGCCACAAGAACAACAGUAUAUGAAGGAAAAAUGAAGGUGGGUUUCCCUUACUAUGGCAAUUUUCCCUAAUUAAGCUAGCCAUUCACUAAAUGAAUUCAAUAAAUUUUGCAAUUCAGUAUAUAACAAAAAAAAAAAAAAAAAAAAC
rnacentral:lncRNA from 1 species